CGCCUUGUGCCAAAGCUAUACAAGGGGGUGGAGCAGGACAAAGGGGGCUGCCAGUCAUGAGAAAACCCCUACUUACCACCUGAGAUGUCCGCUGGAACUAACAAGGACUUUACCAGGGACAAGGAUUGGGCCCGGACUAGGAAGGAUUCUACUCUGUGAAAGAAACUUAUUGGAACAUCUUUGAGGGUGAGAUAUUACCUGUAAUCAAGGACGGCAAAGAGUCCUGUGGCACCUUAUAGACUAACAGACGUAUU